rnacentral:misc_RNA from 1 species
GAUGAAGAACGUAGCGAAAUGCGAUACUUGGUGUGAAUUGCAGAAUCCCGUGAACCAUCGAGUCUUUGAACGCAAGUUGCGCCCGAAGCCAUCAGGUUGAGGGCACGUCUGCCUGGGCGUCACAUAUCGUUGCCCAAUGCCUAUUGCAGUGCAAUAGGAAUUUCUAGGGCGAAUGAUGGCUUCCCGUGAGCGUUGUUGCCUCGCGGUUGGUUGAAAAUCGAGUCCUUGGUAGGGUGUGCCAUGGUAGAUGGUGGUCGAGUUAGAACGAUACCGAUCAUGUGCCUGCUCCCCAAAAUAUGGCCUCUAUGACCCACACGCGUCUUUUGACGCUCAUGACGAGACCUCAGGUCAGGCGGGGCUACCCGCUGAAUUUAAGCAUAUCAAUAAGCGGAGGA